AACGUAGGAGACGAACGUUAUCCGGAGUUACUGGGCGUAAAGGGCGUGCAGGCGGCUUGAUAAGUUCGGCGUGAAAUUUCCCGGCUUAACCGGGGGAUGUCGUCGGAGACUGUCGAGCUAGAGGGUGAUAGAGGCGUGUGGAAUUCCGGGUGUAGUGGUGAAAUGCGUAGAGAUCCGGAGGAACACCAGUGGCGAAGGCGACUCGCUGGGUCAUACCUGACGCUAAAACACGACAGCAUGGGGAG
rnacentral:rRNA from 1 species